rnacentral:lncRNA from 1 species
GAGUGAAAUCCCAUCAAAAAAACAAAUACUCAAGGCAGUCUCCCUGGACUCAAUGAGGCUGGAACUAACUCUUGUAGGACAAGCGAAAGAAGGGUGCCAGGCAGACAAUGAAGGGGGCAGUUGAGAUAAGUAAAAGUGCAUUGGAUAGGGCUAAGAACUUGCUGUGAGCCCCAAGUUGGUGAUGAUGUCCCAGCCAUACCAUGUACAACCCCUGAAAUCUUGGACAAGCCUCUUUUCACCUCUGCAUCUCAACUUCCUCAACUGUCCAAAUGAGAAAGAUAACCUUGUCUCCAUUAACAAGCCUGGACAUUUCUAAGAGAUCUGAAUGAAGAAGUACACAGGUUUUCAUUUUGUUGUAUGCCUCAUUGUUUGCAUACAAUAUAAUACAUGCAAUAUAAAUUAAAUAUUGCAUAAUAGAUUAAUAAAAUUCCCCCAAAUUGGGAGUCAAGAGGAUUGAUUGUUUCUUUAAAUUUCCAAUUUCUGUUAUAAUCCUAAGGCAAACAAUAAAAAGUCCACAUGCCAUAAAGAGUUCUAUGUAUACCCUGAGCCCUUAUGCCUAAAGAAAAGGGUUAAUUAGAAACCAUUGCUUCAUGUUCUGUGAUCACCUUUGGGGUUUGGACACACUGCACAAA